GGUGGCAUUCACUUCCGGCAGCAGGGCCAUGGCUGCCCUCCUUCGAGCUGUGCCGCGGUCGCCAGGGCCAGCUGCGUGGGGAAGGCCUCUCCACAGGCUGUGGUGCUGCAGUGGGCAGGAUCCUAGAAGGUGGGUGGGGAGCAGGCCGCCCCCCUCCAAGAAGAAACCACCAGGCACAGAGACAGAGAAAUUUCAGAUGGUGUACCGGUUUGAUGCCAUCAGGGUCUUCGGGUACUUGUCUCGGCUGAAGGUGGCACAGACGGCCCUGACGGUGGUGGCCCUGCCACCUGGCCUCUACUGGUACUCCCAGGGCCUCAUGACCUUCCACUCCCUGUGCCUGGCGGGCGGGGUCGCUGGCUUCGCCAUGGCCAUGUUGUGCUGGAUGAGCCAUUUCUUCCGGAGGCUGGUGGGCAUCCUAUAUGUGAACGAGUCGGCCACCAUGCUGCGGGUAGCCCACCUGACCUUCUGGGGCUGGCGACAGGACACAUACUGCCCCGUGGCCGACAUGAUGCCCGUGACGGAAAGCCAGGAUCGGCCUCAGGAGCUGUUCGUGCGGAUCAAGCGGUACAGUGGGAAACAGACCUUCUACCUCACCUUGCGCUACGGACGCAUCCUGGACCGAGAGCGUUUCACGCAGGUGUUUGGGAUGCUGGACAAGCUCAAGUGAACAUCGAGGAGUGGGGCCUCCCGCAGGACAGCUGAGGAGUGGGGGUCGGGCAGCUGGAGACUUUGCGGGGGCCCCUGGGAACUUGUCUUUGGGGAUGAGGAAAUUCACGAGGUAGAAGAGAGUAAUCGGGUUUAGAAAGAGGCUCUGAGUGCAGAUACUUCACUGCACAUGUGUAUUACAUUCAGAUAAUGGCCAGAAGUUUCUGUUAAGAGCUAGUUCUUGGAGGAAGCAAUGCCAAGCUCACUGGAACAGUACCCUGCUGUGAAAUCAAAGACAGAGAGGUGGAGGGGGUGAGGAGCCAGAAGACUUGAGUCUAUACAUUUACAAAUCCCUGUCCUGGGGCAGGUUCUCAAAUCUCUUAGAACCUUGGUGUUCACAUCUGUAAAGUGGAAAAUUCCUCCCUGUCUCCUGGGAUGGUGUGAGAAUAAACAGUAAAUGUCACCGUUAGUUCAGUGAUGGCGUGGCGAAAGGCUUCCAGACAAUGGCUAGCGAUUUCACGAGCUACGUGCUGCGCCCCCUGGUGGACCCAGCGGCAGGAGGGACCAGGAUGAAGCCUAGAGACCGCCGGCCACAGAAGCUCUUCUGCAUGGACUCUGCUCGAGCUGGCAGCCUGUCCUCUGGACUCCCUGUGUCUUCACCGACCUCUGACAAGUCUCUUGAGUGCUGCAGAGAAUGUUUUGCUUGAAAUUCUUCCAGCUACACCCCCACCCCCAAAAGAGAAUGUCUCAGGAACUCACUACGCCCUGAGUCAACGAGCACUGGCUGCUAAAUGGCUUAAAAAGUUUUAUGAGAAGUAACUUCCCUUGGUAAGGAGUGAAUAAGUCUGGAAAUGACUUUCCAGAUAAAAAAGAUUUCAUUUCUGUCAAUGCCUUGUGGGGAGAGAACAAAAUAUUGGAGCCACUCUCUCCACCAAAGAGAGCCACGUUUCUGGUUGUGCCCUAGCUUAAAAACCUUUUGGACUCCAGGAACCUCGCUGUAUGUUUGGAUCCAAUGCUGAAGUUCUCAGGAUGAAAGCAUACGUGAACUAUGGUUGGUUUGCAUUUUGCUUGUUUGUUAAAUAAGGCCUUGAAUCUUGGGAUAUUGCCUGUGGAAUCUGGAUCCCCAGUGAAAAGUGUGAGGCUGUGAACUCAUGUGUCUUUGCACAUGCUGUUCCCCUUCUGCAACACUCUUCCUUGCCUUGUCUGCUUGGUGAACUCCUGCUCAUCCUGCAAAACCCUGCUCAAAUGUCACUUGCUCCUGGGAACCUCCUCUGACCCUUGGGUGGAUUCGGCCCCUCCCUCUGAGUUCCUGAUGUCCCUACACAUUACCUCUGUUAUGACACUUGCCAUUCUGCGUUAAUUGUUGGUUUAAGAGUCUGUUGUCCCCAACGGGAUGUGAGUCCCUUGAGAGCAGGGACUUGGUUUUAUUUCACCUUUGGAUUUCUAGUGCUUCGCACUGGGCCUGGGACAGAGCAGGUGUUUAAUGUGUGUCAUGAAUAAGUGAUUGGAUACGUAAAUGAAUAUACAAAUGAGUGAAAGCUUGCAGAGGGAGGCGGGCUCUGUUCAGCAUUCAGUUGGCAGUGCGAGUGCCCUUGCACAUGGCAGCGCUCCUUAAAAGCAAUGGGUUAGCACUGAGUGCAGGAACGCUGGGUGAACUGGGAUUCAGGGAUCCGGCUAUGUCUGUUAAACACGCGAGUGCCUUUUAUUCUCAGCAAAAAUAGGUUGAUGACCAAAUCUGCUGAAAAGUGGAAGCGGAAAAAAGCCAAACCACGUUGAGAUCUUUGGAUGAUUAGUUAUUAAAAGACAAAAGCUCAAUUGAGAAUCUUGAUCUGCCCGGCUCCCAAAACAGUCGGCCAAGGCAGCAGGAGACCACGCGGCUUCCUUUGGGACAGACGUCCUUCGUCUACCCGCUAAAUACCCCCUCGUUGCUGUAGGACAACUAAAUGCUCUUUUUAGGAGCAUCUGAAGUCAAAUCCGUUCCAAAACUGUCUUGCCUCCUGCAGAGAUCCCCAGCCAUCGUCCAAUUAAGCCUCUAAGCACCACCUGCCUCGUCAUCUCACAGUGACUCAUGGCCGGAAAAGCUCUGACUUGGAGGCGUAAUGACAAGGAAACCACCUCGUACCAACAGGCUACUUUUUCCUGCAUGGAGCUCUGGUGCCUUUAAUUCAUGAUGCCGCCCACGAGAAGAAACCCAGUCCAACUCUGAUGGAGCAGCAAAGCCAUUCCUGGGGUGGCUCAGGUGUGGAGCAGAGGCAGAUGAGCAGAAGCUAGAGAAGGGGUCCCAGGGCGAGGGGUCCAAGGUCAGACCCCAGAUGCCGUGGGGACAGGAGGCGGGGUCUCUGCUGCCCCAAGCCUGGGCUUACGCUCCUGGGGGUGUGUGGCCAGGGUGAUCGGACACAGCUUUCCUUUCACAGAGGUCUGGGCUGAUGUUUAACGGGAGGGAGUGCCUUUGGGGAAUGAGGGCGGUGAGUAAGACCCAUCAGCGGUGCCACCCAGAGAUGCCCCCAGGACGAGGCCUCAUCAAGGAGAGCGUUCACAGUUUGGAGAGGAAUCCCCAGGUGCAUCGGGGGAGUGGUCUUACUUUUCAGGAGGCCAGAAGACCCUUUCGCACACCCCCAAGCUCAAUCCCAUGUCUCUACGGUCCUGUCUUCAAACGCUCUGUCCUGCCCAUCACUGGACUGCACGUGGGAUGUGCUCAGAGCUCUGGGACUUGGGGAUGAGGCGGAAGCAUAUCUGCUUGCAUAGGGCAGGGGAAGCCAGCAUCCUCCCCUCUUAGAAUGUGUCACUCAAGAGGUAUGGAACCCAGGAGACCCAGCCACCCCCACCAGGGACAGGUGUCAUUCCUUUGACUGGCUUCCAAAGGUAUCAUCUGGGUCAGGAGUGGCAAACACACGGCCAGGACCCUCGGGGCCCGUCCUAAGACUAUGUCCAGGGCUCAAGCAGAAUUUCUGGGCUUAAAACCAAUGUGCGCCACUGGCUCU